rnacentral:lncRNA from 1 species
CUCAACCUUACGUGAGGAUAGAGUGCUUAACUCUCCACCCUACCCCACUACCCUCCCUAAACUUAUAAAACACAUCCCGAUUGCAUCAGACAGACACUGACAAUAACAAGGUAUUUCAAACUCAUGUGCUACAUGGCUGUGGGGUUUCUUUUCCCCCUUUUUAUAGCUGAUCUAUCUGUAUUUCCCUUUGAAGUUAAGAUAAACCAAUGUAGCAUUUGAUAUACCAACAUAGCUAGGUGUCGAUAAACCAAUGUAGCUAGGUGUCGAUAAACCAAUGUAGCUAGGUGUAGAUAAACCACCGUAGCUAAGUGUAGAUAAACCAAUGUGUAGAUAAACCAGAAUAGCUAUAGGUAAACCAACGUAGCUAGGUGUAGAUAAACCAAUGUAGCUAGGUGUAGAUAAACCACCGUAGCUAAGUGUAGAUAAACCAAUGUGUAGAUAAACCAGAAUAACUAUAGGUAAACCAACGUAGCUAGGUGUAGAUAAACCAACGUAGCUAGGUGUAGAUAAACCAACAUAGCUGUAGAUAAACCAAUGUAGCUAUGUGCAGAUAAACCAACGUAGCUAUAGAUAAACCAACAUAGCUGUAGAUAAACCAACGUAGCUAGGUGUAGAUAAACCAACGUAGCUAUAGGAAAACCAACAUAGCUAGGUGCAGAUAAACCAACGUAGCUAGGUGCAGAUAAACCAACGUAGCUAGGUGUAGAUAAACCAACGUAGCUAGGUGUAGAUAAACCAACGUAGCUAGGUGUAGAUAAACCAACGUAGCUAGGUGUAGAUAAACCAACGUAGCUAUAGGAAAACCAACAUAGCUAGGUGUAGAUAAACCAACAUAGCUGAAGAUAAACCAAUGUAGCUAUGUGCAGAUAAACCAACGUAGCUAGGUGUACAUAAACCAACAUAGCUGUAGAUAAACCAACAUAGCUAUAGAUAAACCAACAUACCUGGGUGUAGAGAAACCAACGUAGCUAGGUGUAGAUAAACCAAAGUAGCUAUAGACAAAUCAAUGUAGCUAUAGAUAAACCAAAGUAGCUAGGUGUAGAUAACCAACGUAGCUACGUGUAGCUAAAUCAACACAGCUACGUGUAUAUAAACCAACAUAGCUAGCUGUAGAUAAACCAACGUAAAUAGGUGUAGAUAAACCAACGUAGCUACGUGUAUAUAAACCAACGUAGCUAGGUGUAGAUAAACCAACAUAGCUAGGUGGAGAUAAGCCAAUGCAGCUUGGUGUAGAUAAACCAAUGCAGCUAGCUGUAGAUAAACCAGCAUAGCUGGGUGUAGAUAAACCAACAUAGCUGGGUGUAGAUAAACCAACGUAGCUGGGUGUAGAUAAACCAACGUAGCUGGGUG